rnacentral:lncRNA from 1 species
CAUUUCAAAAUUUUGUCUUUACUGUCCACUCUUUCAAUUUUUUAAAUAUGAGAGAGUUAACGAUACUUUGACUUCAAAAUUUAAGCUAAUUACUUUUAUAAAUAUAGUUACGGAAGAGUAGGAGAGAAUAUUCUAAUUCAAUCUGUAAAAAUAAAUGAUACAGUUAAAUUUCGAAAUCCAAGUUCCGUUAGCUAAUUGAAAUCAGACAAAUUAAAAAGUUAGUGUUGCUAGCCGAAUUUUCCGACCUUUGAUCCAGUCAAAGAUCCUCCUCGGGGAGCGUGUCGGAGUGAGGAACGGCUGUGGAUAAUGACCCUUGAAGUUUGCGCCCUUCGAUUGAUCAGGCGAUUCGGCUGACGAGGAAUCGGAUCAGCCGGGUUCGAAAUCUCUACAGUAAAUUUGGUUCAGCUGGAUGAGCCGAAUGAAUAAGAGAAAUCAGAAUUUCAACCAAGGAAUGAGCCGAAUGUCUAAUACAGCACAAGAACUGGUCGGCCCGAAGAGCCGAACACUGCCUUCUAUUGAAAGAGAACGGAAAAAGUAUAGAAAAGAGGGUUUUAGUUUACAACGGAGUGAUGCCUAAAGGGCAGACAGACUCCAGGAUGCUAAGUUACAGGAACUACUCCUAGGGAAAGCAGUAAAUGCGAGAAAGAAAGAUACGGAAAAAUAAGGGUGGUCUUCUGUGCGCAAGGACAAAGACCUCUUUUCAGGGUAUUAUUAUCCUAUUUAUAGAUGACCCCCUUGGUCAGUUAUUGCUCUUACACGAUCGGCCACUAUCUCCUCAUAUUCCGGACCACAUCUAACCGAUUAGAACCGCAUGUAACUGCUUGCGGUUAUCGUAACUUCUUUCAAUUGGCGCGAUUUAUUUUCCUUUACACUUUUCCGGUGCUCCCGGUGCACGACCAAAUAGAUGCUUUUGAAGGGAAUACCAGCACCGAUCUUGUCCGCGCUUAAUUGUCUCAACAGUU